rnacentral:tRNA from 1 species
GCCGAUGUAGCUCAGUUGGUCAGAGCAGCUGAUUUGUAAUCAGCAGGUCGUGGGUUCGAAUCCCUCCAUCGGCUCCU